rnacentral:rRNA from 1 species
GCGAGGGUGAGCAAACCACAGAAACGGCGUCCCAGUUCGGAUUGCAGCCUGCAACCCGACUACAUGAAGCUGGAAUCGCUAGUAAUCGCGGAUCAGAAUGCCGCGGUGAAUACGUUCCCGGGUCUUGUACACACCGCCCGUCACACCAUGGGAGUCGGAAAUGCCCGAAGUCUGUGACCCAACCUACGGGAGGGAGCAGCCGAAGGCAGGUCGGAUGACUGGGGUGAAGUCGUAACAAGGUAAC